rnacentral:tRNA from 1 species
GGUGGGGUCGCAUAGUGGCCGAGUGCGCCGCCUUGGAAAGGCGGUAGGGGCGCAAGCUCCUCGAGGGUUCGAAUCCCUCCCCCACCGCCA